AAUAUCCUUUUCCUAUCUUUAAACCAUUUGGCGUGUAGACCAGUUUUAUUAAUACAAAACAUAUUUUUCUAUUUUUUGGUGUAACUUUUGGGUGCGUUAUAUUGCUUUUAAUAGUGGCAUAGCGCUAUCUUCCAAAAUGUCACAGCGGACCCAAAAUUUCUAAAAAUAAUUUCAAUAUCUAAUGAUCUUCAUUGUAUAACGCCCACACAAAAGUGUAGGCUUAUAUGACAUGCACCCGUAACAUUUAUUAUGUUCACUUUUACAAUUUGGACCUUUUUUAUUUUGGACUUGAUUGGAAGAUUUCGAAACCGAAUAGGUAUUUAGUUAAACAUUUUGUUUACAUCUUGGCAAAGAGGAAAUCUGUGAUUCCAUUAAAAGUCUUUCUUUACAAAUGAUA